UAAGGAGCUUGCUCCUUUGACGUUAGCGGCGGACGGGUGAGUAACACGUGGGUAACCUACCUAUAAGACUGGGAUAACUUCGGGAAACCGGAGCUAAUACCGGAUAACAUUUGGAACCGCAUGGUUCUAAAGUGAAAGAUGGUUUUGCUAUCACUUAUAGAUGGACCCGCGCCGUAUUAGCUAGUUGGUAAGGUAACGGCUUACCAAGGCGACGAUACGUAGCCGACCUGAGAGGGUGAUCGGCCACACUGGAACUGAGACACGGUCCAGACUCCUACGGGAGGCAGCAGUAGGGAAUCUUCCGCAAUGGGCGAAAGCCUGACGGAGCAACGCCGCGUGAGUGAUGAAGGGUUUCGGCUCGUAAAACUCUGUUAUUAGGGAAGAACAAAUGUGUAAGUAACUGUGCACGUCUUGACGGUACCUAAUCAGAAAGCCACGGCUAACUACGUGCCAGCAGCCGCGGUAAUACGUAGGUGGCAAGCGUUAUCCGGAAUUAUUGGGCGUAAAGCGCGCGUAGGCGGUUUCUUAAGUCUGAUGUGAAAGCCCACGGCUCAACCGUGGAGGGUCAUUGGAAACUGGGAAACUUGAGUGCAGAAGAGGAAAGUGGAAUUCCAUGUGUAGCGGUGAAAUGCGCAGAGAUAUGGAGGAACACCAGUGGCGAAGGCGACUUUCUGGUCUGUAACUGACGCUGAUGUGCGAAAGCGUGGGGAUCAAACAGGAUUAGAUACCCUGGUAGUCCACGCCGUAAACGAUGAGUGCUAAGUGUU
rnacentral:rRNA from 1 species